GCAGUCGUAUCACCUUGGCUACUUCGGUUCUUAUGUGAUCACCGUAGUCAAGCUAAGUCGGGCUUUUCAGUACUUUCAUUGACAACCGGCCCGGAAUACCGGGUGUUAUGACG
rnacentral:rRNA from 1 species